ensembl:rRNA 5S_rRNA 5S ribosomal RNA
AUCUACAGCUAUGCCACCCUGAAUGCACCCUAUCUCAUCUGACCUCAGAGGCUAGAACAGGGUCAGGCCUGGUUAGGACUUCAAAGGGAGAAAGGGAGGAAAGAACACCACAGAGCGGUAUCUU